rnacentral:lncRNA from 1 species
GAGAAUCCCUUAAAUGCGCUUGGAAGGGCCCAAAAUCCCCCAAAUUCACCCCAAAUUCACCCCAAAAUCCACCUCAGCACCCCAAAAAACCCAAAAUCCCCCAAAUUCACCCCAAAAAUCCCCACAGAAAUCCCCCCAAAAUCCCCAAAUUUGGGGUUUUUAUCCCCAAAAUCCUCUCUAAGAGUCUCUUAAAUGCACCUGGACGGGCCCAAAAUCCCCCAAAUUCACCCCAAAAAUCCCCACAAAAAUCCCCAAAUUUGGGAUUUUUAUCCCCAAAAUCUUCUUAAAAUCCCUCAAAUUGCACCUGGGGACCCCAAAAAAUCCCAAAAUCAAAAAAAAGCCCCAAAAAUGCCCCAAAAAUCCCCAAAUUUGGGGAUUUUUUUUUUUUUUGUCUCUGGGCGGGGCUGGUGUCGCUUUUGGCCCUGCCGCCAACCUCCCCAAAUGUCCCCAAAUGUCCCAAAAAUGUCCCCAAAUGUCCCCAAAAUGUACCAAAAUUCACCCAAAAUGUCCCCAAAUCCCCCCAGUGUCCCCAAUCCCAUUUUUCCCAUUUUUCUCCCAUUUUUUCCCAAUUCCCCCAAUCCCCCCAAUGUCCCCGAUGUCCCCAAAAUGUCCCAAAAUAUGUCCCAAAUCCCCCCAACGUCCCCAAUGUCCCCAAUCCCAUUUUGUCCCAUUUUUUCCCAUUUUUUCCCAUUUUUCUCCCAUUUUUCUCCCAUUUUUUCCCAAUGUCCCCAACGUCCCCAAUGUCCCCAAUCCCAUUUUUCCCCAUUUUUCCCCAUUUUUCUCCCAUUUUUCUCCCAUUUUUUCCCACUGUCCCCGACGUCCCCUCAAUGUCCCCAGUGUCCCCAAUGUCCCCUCGAUGUCCCCAACGUCCCCAAUGUCCCCAAUCCCAUUUUUCCCAUUUUUCUCCCAUUUUUCUUCCAUUUUUUCCCAAUGUCCCCAAUCCCCCCAAUGUCCCCAGUGUCCCCAAUGUCCCCUCGAUGUCCCCAACGUCCCCAAUGUCCCCAA